rnacentral:rRNA from 1 species
AAAGAAACCAACAGGGAUUGCCUCAGUAACUGCGAGUGAAGCGGCAAAAGCUCAAAUUUGAAAUCUGGUACCUUUGGGUGCCCGAGUUGUAAUUUGGAGAGGCAACUUCGGAGGAGGCGCUGGCCUAAGUUCCUUGGAACAGGACGUCACAGAGGGUGAGAAUCCCGUGCUUGGCUGGCUGUCCUCCUUCAUGUGAAGUGUCUUCGACGAGUCGAGUUGUUUGGGAAUGCAGCUCAAAAUGGGUGGUAAACUCCAUCUAAGGCUAAAUAUUGGCGAGAGACCGAUAGCGCACAAGUAGAGUGAUCGAAAGAUGAAAAGCACUUUGAAAAGAGAGUUAAAAAGUACGUGAAAUUGUUGAAAGGGAAGCGCUUGAGACCAGACUCGGUGAUUGGUGAUCAGCGGUUGCUUUUGCUCCGUGCACUUGCCUUUUACUGGGCCAGCAUCAGUUGUGACGGCGGGAUAAAGACUUAGGGAAUGUGGCUCUCUUCGGGGAGUGUUAUAGCCCUGGGUGUAAUGCCGCCUGUUACGACUGAGGACCGCGCUUCGGCUAGGAUGCUGGCAUAAUGGUCUUCAGCGACCCGUCUUGAAACACGGACCAAGGAGUCUAACAUCUAUGCGAGUGUUCGGGUGUAAAACCCCUACGCGUAAUGAAAGUGAACGGAGGUGGGAACUCUUCGGAGUGCACCAUCGACCGAUCCUGAUGUCUUCGGAUGGAUUUGAGUAGGAGCAUAGCUGUUGGGACCCGAAAGAUGGUGAACUAUGCCUGAAUAGGGUGAAGCCAGAGGAAACUCUGGUGGAGGCUCGCAGCGGUUCUGACGUGCAAAUCGAUCGUCAAAUUUGGGUAUAGGGGCGAAAGACUAAUCGAACCAUCUAGUAGCUGGUUCCUGCCGAA